UAGGGUUUAGUGACUAGAAUUUAGGGUUUAGUAUUUAGAAGGUGAGGGGGUAUGGUUGGGGUCAAUAUUAACUUCUUUCAUGCAAUCAUAGACAUUUAUAGUUUCACUAAUAUGUACUAUGUUAUUUAUUUUGUUCCACUCUAUUUGGGAUUUGUGUUUAUAUUUGGGUUUAUGGUUUAUAUUUGAGUUAGGAUUUAGUGAUUAAAGUUUAGUGUUUAGUAUUUGGAAAUUUAGGUUUUGUGUUUAUAUUUGAGUUUAGGGUUUAUACACUUUUUAUUUUUUUUAAUUUUACGUUUCUAUCCACUCAUUCUACUGCAUAUAGUAAAUAAAUAUGUUGUAAAUAAAUUUGUGACAUGAGUUCUUUUACGUGAUGUGUUUGUAAAUAAUAGUAAUUCAUUAUUGACCAAGAAUAAAAAUUUCUUGGGUGGAUUAAAUUGGUACGUGACUGCAAGUGUUUCUAUUAAAUAAAUAGUCUUAAUUUAAU
rnacentral:lncRNA from 1 species